rnacentral:rRNA from 1 species
ACGGAUCUCUUGGUUCUGGCAUCGAUGAAGAACGCAGCGAAAUGCGAUAAGUAGUGUGAAUUGCAGAAUUCAGUGAAUCAUCGAAUCUUUGAACGCACAUUGCGCCCCUUGGUAUUCCAUGGGGCAUGCCUGUUCGAGCGUCAUUUGUACCUUCAAG